UUUUCUCAGAGGCAGCAUCUUCUUUUGACUGGAAGAGUUAGCGAUUUCUUCUGUCUAAACCUUUUCACGACUGAAAGGAAAAGUACCCGAAACGAAGAAUUGGUAAAAUGGCGAACGAUCAGAACAGCGAAGACAGAUUGAAGAAGAUCUUUGUUGGUGGUUUGAGCAGGUCGACAACCAAUGACGGUUUAAGAGCAUACUUUGAUAGCUAUGGAGAAAUGUCAGACUGUGUUGUAAUUGUUGAUCCUCAAAGUAAAGAAUCCAGAGGAUUCGGUUAUGUGACUUUCGUAGACAAGAACAGCGUCAUUGAGGUACUAAAAUACAAGAAAGAAAAGGGAGCCCAUACCAUCGACGAAAAAGAAGUCGAAGUGAAGCGAGCCAUUCCCAAAGAUGAUGACAGCCCUACAGCUCGUCUCAAAACGAAGAAAAUCUUCAUCGGUGGUUUGAAAGACGAGGCAACCUCCGAGGAUAUCCAUCAGGCCCUUGCGGAUGCAGUUCGUGGCACUGCUCCGAACAGUGUUGACUUGAUCAUGAAGAAAACCGAAGAUGGCACGAGUAAGCACCGCGGCUUUUGCUUUGUUGAAUUCGAGGACGAGGAUAUCGUCGAUGAACUUUGCUGCCUCAAAAAAGUCAACAUAUGUGGAAAGAGCGUGGAGAUCAAGAAAGCCGAACCCAAGGACAAGGACAAAGGUGGCCCGGGAGGACGCGGUGGACGCGGUGGCCGCGGCCGUGGAGGGUAUGGAGGUGGCCGUGGUCACAGCCGUGGUGGCGGUGGAGAUUACGGAAGCAGCGGGUAUGGCGGUUACCCGUCAGGUGGCUAUAAUCAGUCGUAUGGCUAUGCAGAGCCCAAUUAUGGUUAUAAUUAUGGCAACGGGUAUGAUUAUUACAGCCAGAUGGGAACUUACCCACAAGCUCCUUCAAACUAUGGCCCACAAAGGGGAUAUGGUCGGGGACAAGAUGGCUAUUCGCGACCAUACUAGCAGAAAAGUGGUGCUCUGGGAUGAAUGCACAUGAGGUUAAAGUGUGCCACCAUGUUGCAAGUGGAAAGUCGUGCCAUUUGUGCAACUCAAGUGUCUCCAGUUUUCAGACUGGCCAGUAACUUGUGAAACAAGGACAACUGCAUCCAUAGUAUGCUGAUAUGCUCCAUCUGCACUGAUCAUGUGCCCCCUAAAGCCCUUCUGGAACUGAAAUAUUGCCUGAGAAAACUUCAUCAAAAAUGCCUGAUGAAGUGGGUAGCGGAAAGGCAAAGCAAAAACAGAGUACCAACAUGUCCACAUUGUAGAGCCUUGAAUACAAGAUUUCGGAGUUUGGAAGAAGUGAAUGAGAAUGAAUUCCCAAUGAAAGUAUGUUAUGUAUGGGGUAAAUGCCCCUUCUGGCAUGGGCCAAUAGCUUCAAAUGCAGCAGCAAAGAAGGGAUUUUGGGGUUUGCUUGAAGACUGGGUGGAGCUGGAACUGCCGCCAGCAAUCUGCUUUCUGGGAUCAACAAGAUCACAAACAUUCGGAAGAGUAGAGAUGUAUUUAAGUUUCUGAAAAACUGUAACUAACUUUUUUUGUGUUACUUCAAAACAAAAGAUAGUGUAAUCAGCCAUAAUAUUAAUUCUAAUACGGCUGUUCAUAGUAUCACAAUGUGAGAUUUCACUAAAUGUAAAAGCUGUUGAUGUAAUUAAACAUGAUUUAAACUGCA